GCCCGUUUUCACCAACAGCCUCUUACCGUUUCCCUAUCUAAAUGCAACUUUUAAUAAGGACUUCUCCCAAUUUGACACCUACCUAAAUUCAUUUUCACCACACUUGUACAUGGAUCCCUUAAAUAAGUUUAUUUUGGCAGAGAAGAGAAAACGAGGAUAAACCUUUCUUACAGAAGAAAAAGACAAGCUAGUGAAAUUGCUGACGUCUCAUAGAGACACAAUAUUAAACAAAAAACGGAUGGGACCACGAACGAAGCCAAAAACAAAGCUUGGAUCCAGUCACAAAUAGUUUUAAUGCGAUAGGAACCGUUUACAGUUUCAGGUGGUGCGAGAAAUUGGAAAGACAUGCUGCGCCCAGCCCACCUCAAAUUGAAUUGGUGCAGGAGGAUGAUGAUAAUGUUUGGUACAUCAUAUGAGGACUAAUAUUAAAAUAUUUGUUUACUAUCUUUGUUUUAAUUUACAUAAUUUAUUAUGUUUAAUGUUAGCCUACUUCUUACCUCCAGAGGGUAUCCCCUAUCACCUAGGAGAUAGGCUCCUCCAUAUUCACCAUUUUCUAAUCAUUGGUAUCUACUGCAGUUUUGGUAUUUAAGGCCUAUUCAAACCUGAGCGAUAUUCGCUGCCGCUGUGGGUAGAGGUAGAUACCGCGCGGGUUUCGCUCAGGUAUUUAGUAUCAAGUAUAGUUACCGGCACGGAUAUUGAGCUCUCGGCGGAAGAGUGGGGAUCGCUUUGCGCACUGUACACAAGGCAAUAAACCAAUAAAUGGCUUCUGCGCAGGUGAAGGUCAGGGCUCAAUAUCCGUGCCAAUAACUAUACCGCGGCUAGAGCGACCUGAGCGAUAUUCACUGCUGCUGUGGGUAGAAGUACAUACCGCGCGGCAGCAGCGGCAUGCAUCCCGAACAUCAACAGUAAUACAAGCUGUUGAUUUGCAUCCGUGCCAUAGUCAAGGACGUGAUUAUGCUAAUGAUUCUCGACCCAAAUCAAUAAAAAAAUUGGUACGUAAUUUUUUUUUAUUUUUUUUUUUUCGGAAUUCCGUCGAUGUUAUCUAGCCGUAUUUGAACUUGGCGCGUGUGUUACUGGCCGUAAAACCGUGCUGUGCCUUCACACAAACGCAAACACAAAGCAUACGCAACUAUCAUUCAUAAUUUUCAUUCAUAAAAUUGGAAUAAUUCUGAAAUACUACGACAUUACAAUGACAAAAAAAGCAGUACAUAUUAGCUACUUCCCGUCCACUGUAAUUCCAAUCGAUUAUUUACGUAUUUUAUGACCUCCUCCUGAAGUAUGGCACAAAUGCAAAUCAACACCUUGUAUUAUCGCAUACCCACUGGGUUUUCUUUGUCGCAGGUGGUAGCGAAUACCGCUUAGGUCUGAACAGUCAUAUUACCGCAUACCCACAGGGUUUUCUCUGCCGUAAACGGUAGCGAAUACCGCUUAGGUCUGAAUAGGCCUAUAGUUGUCCCGGCUACCGCGAAACUACAUCAGUGAUUACCAGAUUUGCAUCUGUUAUGGUCUGUAUAUUUAUAGACAUGCAGGACUUCCUAUUUUUGAAUAAU
rnacentral:lncRNA from 1 species